rnacentral:misc_RNA from 1 species
AGCAGCCGCGGUAAUUCCAGCUCCAAUAGCGUAUAUUAAAGUUGUUGCAGUUAAAAAGCUCGUAGUUGAAUUUCGGGGUUAGUAGGUUGGUCAUGCCUCUGGUAUGUACUGGUCUCACUGAUUCCUCCUUCCUGAUGAACCUUAAUGCCAUUAAUUUGGUGUUUUGGGGAAUUUGGACUGUUACUUUGAAGAAAUUAGAGUGUUUAAAGCAAGCUAACGCUUGAAUACAUUAGCAUGGAAUAAUGAAAUAGGACGUUCGAUCCUAUUUUGUUGGUUUCUAGGAUUGACGUAAUGAUUAAUAGGGAUAGUUGGGGGCAUUAGUAUUCAAUUGUCAGAGGUGAAAUUCUUGGAUUUAUUGAAGACUAACUACUGCGAAAGCAUUUGCCAAGGAUGUUUUCAUUAAUCAAGAACGAAAGUUAGGGGAUCGAAGACGAUCAGAUACCGUCGUAGUCUUAACCAUAAACUAUGCCGA